rnacentral:rRNA from 1 species
ACUCCUACGGGAGGCAGCAGUGGGGAAUAUUGCACAAUGGGGGAAACCCUGAUGCAGCCAUGCCGCGUGUGUGAAGAAGGCCUUCGGGUUGUAAAGCACUUUCAGUAGGGAGGAAGGUAGUGUAGUUAACACCUGCAUUAUUUGACGUUACCUACAGAAGAAGCACCGGCUAACUCCGUGCCAGCAGCCGCGGUAAGUACGGAGGGUGCGAGCGUUAAUCGGAAUUACUGGGCGUAAAGCGCAUGCAGGCGGCCUGUUAAGUCAGAUGUGAAAGCCCGGGGUCUUAACCUCGGAAUUGCAUUUGAAACUGGCAGGCUAGAGUCUGUAGAGGGUUAGAAUUUCAGGUGUAGCGUGAAAUGCGUAGAGAUCUGAAGGAAUACCGAGUGGCGAACGGCGGCCCCCUGGACAAAGACUGACGCUCAGAUGCGAAAGCGUGGGAGCAAACAGGAUUAGAAU